AGUAGCAGAGUGCAAUAAAGAAACCUAAACAGAGCAUCUAACAACAACAAUGACCUAAGCAAGAAGAGCAGAAACCAAGUUCUAAGCCGAGCACCAACGAAACAGUGAAGGACCCUAGGAGAAGCAAGAGCGGAAAGGGGACGAAGUUGCCACGAGCAAACUGGAGAGAAAGGUGCCCUCAAACCUUGAAACACACAGCUUCCGAGUCACCCACACAUCAAAACAUGUGCAAAGGAAUCACAAUCUCAGACUCGCAAGCUUAUCCAACAUCACCUAACCGGCAGCACGAGAAGGAGUCCGCAGCCGACGAUGCCGUCGUUCGGAGAGGUUUGCUGAAGAUUGCUGCCUCCAACCUACCUAACCGAGACCGUGUACACCCCUUUAACCCAAAGCCCAUAUAGAGCAACAGGAUCGGAAGGGCACAACUCCUCCGGAAUAAAUAACCUUGGAACAAGCAAUUAAGCCGAUAGCCCAACUGAUACCAAGCUCCGAACAGAGGAACAAAGUCGUUCCCACUUCAACCACUACCACUGCAAGAGAGAGAGCCUGCAGUGAAGAGCGCCACCCCGUCGAACCCACUCCGACUUCGGGGAGUAGCGACUAAUCUCACACGCCAAGAUGAACUCAACACAGCAAGAGACCACAACCCCAACACGCCCCGCCACAAGAGUCUGCUACAAGGCAAGCCAACAGCCAACCCUGAACAAGACC
rnacentral:lncRNA from 1 species